AUGGGAGCUACAGGAAAGGUUCAAAACAACGCGUGGGACUUGUGGCUGCCGCUAACUGUUUUAGUUGUAAGAAGCUUAGGACUCAAUGCCCAAGAACCAUAUUACAGGAUAUUCACGCAGUUCCCUGACUCUUACCUUCCCUCCGGGCUGAUGACUAGUUUUGGCGGGUGGACUGUGAACAGUGUGACGUGUCACCUCCAGGUUAAGGAAAUUAGAAGCUGCUUUGACUCCUCCUCUCCUCCCCUAAAUGAUGAGCUUGGUGUCUACAUCCUCUAAAUGGCAUAACUCCAAGACAGGAUUGGGAUUUGAAUUGUCAAGAAAUUUUUAAAAAAUGAGACUACAUUUGCAAACAAGAUUACAUUUUGCAAACAAGCAAAAAGGACAUACUGCAGGUCACAGGCAGAGAGUAUGAGCUGGUGACAGGGCCAGGGGAGUGAUUGUGUGCAGCAGGCUGGACAUCCGGACCACAGGAUCCUCACUCCACCAUCUGCUGGGCAAGUCCCCUGGUCUCUCUGUGCCUUCUUAGCUUUUCAUCUGUAAAACAGAGACAAUAGUGCCUAGUUCAUACAGUGGUUAUGAGGAUUGAAUUAAAUGUAGGUUCAUGUGGGGGAAUGCUUGAUACACAAUAUGUCUUAAAUAAGCACUGGUCACUAUCAGUGCCACUCCCAUGCUGGGUAGGGACUGGGAAGUUGGAGAACAGAGUGGUGAAGUAGUGACAGCAAACAUUAAUUACACAUCAGCUGUAGGACAGGUCGGUGAGAGGUGAAGUUCACCAGCAAAUGUAAACCCUGGUUCAUCACACACACACACACACCACACACACACACAUACACACAGUUUUUCUAUAAAGACACAAAGGGAAAAAAUAAAAGAUGUAUUAAUAAAAAUUUUUUUUAAAUC
rnacentral:lncRNA from 1 species